AAACUAUCAAAGAGAGAAGCAACCUGGAAUUAAGGAGAAACUUCCUAGCAGUGAGGACAAUUAACGAGUGAAACAGUGUCAAACCUGAAUUUAGUUUGGUAGUGGAAUCGUAUGAAUUCAGUUUGACACACUUGAGAAAUGGAGGGGGAGAGAACUGAGGUGGAUGAAGCUCCAGUCAAAACAACAUAGCUGGGUGAUGAGUCAGCUGCAUUCCAACUGCUGCUUGGCCAGAGAAAGGAGAAGGGAAGUUG